GCAAUUGCAGAGGUCUGGGCACGACCUCCUGCUGUGCCUGUCCCUCCAGGCCGUGGCAUAUGCCAUGGCUUAUGGCAGGAGACAGCCCUGUCACAUACUGUGCCAGGAGGACUGCGAGUGCUCGAGGUGCUUACAUCAAUUAGCUUUGCAUCGACUACAGCAGAGACCAGGAGCCCAGCAGGAGCAUUCAUUCUAAGGUGUCACAUUGCACAAAUAUCUCAGACGUACGAGGAACUUGCACUUAUUCAUGGCUACGACAUGUAAAGUAUAAGGGAUCUUGCAGGAGGCCUGAAAAGGAGAUGUCAGUCAGAAGCAGCUGAGCAUAAAAACUGACAGAAUUUCUGUGGAACCAGGCAGAUCAUGGAAGUUUCCUGUUUGUGUCUCUCCCUGGAACCUCUACACUAGGAGGAAGCAAGUAUCAGAUUAUAUCCACUGAUGCUAGAGAACCAGAUGACCUUUUGCAGAAGGGUAUAAAACACCUUGGAGUUGAAACUAAAGGUACAGUAGUCUAAGAAAGUUAAUGCAUUUAAUUGGAAAAAUUAGCUGUUAUCGAGAAAAAACUCACUGACUUGGUAAAAGCUGAGAAUCAUCAAGAUGUGAAGUGAACCUAUCCCUAAUCUUUUGUGGAAAAGCAUGCCAGAAUUUCAUUUGGAUGACACUGGAGAAAGUGAUGAGGAGAGAUAAGUGAACAAAAUAAAAUGCUGCUCCUGGCAACAUUGCUAUUGCUGGACCAUGCAAUAUGCAUAGAGAACAGAAUGACUGGAUGACCUGCAUUAUGUUCCAAACCUCUUAUCCCCACACUCUCUUCUUUCAUUAAGUAUUGUCAUAAUAGGACAUACAUGGCAGGAUCUAACAGAGAAGUUUUACUGAGUUUAACAGUACCAAUAAAAAUCUCAACAUCCAAGUGUGAACUGUGAUGGCCAAGAAGCUUGGACAAAAUUUAUACCUCCCUCUCCUCACAGGGUAGUAACCUUGAGCAAGGAGGCCUGUUUAGCAGCUGAUAACAAAGCUGGUAAAUCAGAGAGAAGCUCUUUGUCAGAUUGCAAACAUUUUGAGAUAUAAACUGUAUUAUCCCCACAUGUUGGAAAAGCCUGCAACACGACGGGGUCCUCAUUUGUACCAGGCUCCUGGGUAGUAAGAAUUAUCAGUGUUUAUGACAGCAAUGCAGCACUUGCUUUUAAGUUUUUUACAAUUAAGUUAUAUAUUCAGAAAUCAGGGGCAGACUAAACAAAAACUUCUGAGAGAGACUUCACCAUAAUUCUAAGUGUACUUACAGUAUUUUCAUGCAAGAAUGCUCAUGCAUUAAAGUCUUCCACUGACUGUUUAAAACAUUACUAAAACCAAACAUACCUGGUUUUACUGCUUCUAUAUAAUGAGUUUUCUACAUAGAGAUAUUAAAAAUGUGAAGGCUGAGGCACUUUUAACUGGAAUUUUACAUCUGCCAUCAAGAAAAAGUUACUCUGUAGGACAAACCCUAUCCUAGCCUUAAGGAUAUUUAUUGAUUGUAAAUGUUACCCUGUGAAAGGUGAUAAUCAAGUAAAGACACAGAAGAGAGCAAGUUUGAUCCAUCAAUACAAGAGCUGGUAUUUCAGUUACCUGCACAGAAACAAUGUAGUCCCAGUUUUCUGGACAAAUUUGAAGAUUGCCAGUGAAUGAAACCAGACAAAUAUCUUCAAGGUUUUAUUCUGUAUAAGACCAGAUUAAGGUACAGAAAGGUUUUUUUUUCCAUUAGGAUUCUAGAAUCAUAUAUUAUCAGAAUCUCAACUUUCAACUAAAGUUUUGGCUUCUGAGCAGUUUCCCCAACUGCCUUUUGGUGUUGAUUUUCUGUUACAGUAGGUAGUUCAUACGUUGUUAGCAAACAUACAAGUUUCACUGGGUUUUUCUGUCUUUUUCAAAUGUAGGGUAACUCUUUGAACUUGAAAAGAAAACAUGUCUUUUUAUAACCUUAUCAAAAUGAAUACAUUUUAUGUAAGCAUUAUUACCAUGACUUAGAAAAACAGAAAAAAGUAUAACCCUAACCCAAGUUAGCUAAGACUCAAAUAUUAUAAUGGAGGAUGAAAUCUGCUUCCCAACAUUUCCAGGAAUUAAGUCUUCAUGACAAAGCCACUUCCUCUUUGUCCAAUAUCUAAGGAAAAGUGUUUAACCUAGUGAAAUGCACCAAAUGCCUCAGCCAAAGCUGACAGCUAAAAGAGAAAGCCAUUUCUGAUUUUAUGAUUUGAAAACACUUUUCAAAUCUUUUUAUCACGCAGAAGAGAACGCUACAAAAAAUGUUCAAUUAACAGGCCUGGCCUAUUAUAUUUUACCAUUUACUGCACCAUUUUUUGUUGUUGCUUUGUUUUUUUCUUUAGAAAGGGCUCUAUUAAAAAGCAUACAAACUUGCAUCAAAAUUUCCCGGAUGAUAGUGUAUUUAAAUUACUGAUUAAGUUGCUAAGUUGUAUCAAAAAUAACUAAUACAAGUAGUAUGACAAUAUUGUUAAUACCUGAGUAUUACUGUAGUACCAAACUGCAUGGGAUAGACAAGUUUGAGUGAAUUUAUAGAAAGCUGUCCUCUAAGAGCCUUUACAAAAAUAAAGAAAUUGAAGUUGGAAGAUUUCAUAAUUCAAUUCACUUUCUUAAUCACGCUUCCUGUAAGUAUAAUACAUAAGCUUUUAUAGAAAGCAAAAAGAGCAAGAAACGAAAAAGAGCAAUCUAAAAGACAGCAGGUUCUCCAGAUUCAAAGCUUAACAUUAAAAAAGCUAAAUACAAAUAAAAAAAAUUUUAUUAGACACACUUUUCUAAAAAUCCCAUAUGGUGCAAAUUACAUUGUGCAUAAACAGGAAACAAAACCCAAGCAAUGAACCACUAAAGGAGAUAUGGGGAAACCUUGUAGACAAGAAACUCACACACAAAACACAAGUAAUAAAGCAAUCUCUGAAGAGACUUCCCUGUAAGGACUGCUCAGCUACUCCUGUCAUCUCCCCCAAAAUCCCCAGAGACAAAAGCAGCAGGAGAACAAACUAGUACCAGGCAGCAGCAUAGCAAACCUAAUUCUCCCAAGUAAAUAAGCACAAUCCAGUUAUAUUUUGACUAUUUAUACCGUGACAGCAAUAUUUCUUAUAAGAUAAAAUUACUACAACAGAUAGGACACAUGAAACAGCUCAGCCAACUCUUACUUCUUUACUCCCAAAACAAUUCUUAUAAAAGGAAAGAACAUUGAUCCUCAAAAAUUUUUAAGUUCCAGAUUUAAAACUAAGACCAUAUAUAGUCUGAAUUUAUAAAGUAGCUUACUUAGAAAAAACAAAAAAUGUGUUGAUUUGCAACAAUGCAAUACUAAAAGUUUUUGGUGUUUUUUUUACCCCCCUGCAUAUGUCAGGGGCUUUGUUUAGUUUGAUUGAUGGGAGUGUCUCAUAUGAUUUUUACCCUUUUUCUGACCACUGUUUCAUUUAUUAGUUUGACAACUGACAUUAGUAACAAUGCAUAUUUGUCUAAUUAUGACUUGCACAUAAUUAAUGUGAAAAAAAAUCACAUAAUAUUCUUGAAGAGGAGUAAAUGACUGUAUAAGCACUAGCAAGUCUGCAAACAUGAGUGCCUAGCUAAUAAGCAUAAUUACAGUUCACGCUUCAUAGUCGGAACUGAUCAGGAGUAGGGGUCAGAAAAUAUUCCUCUGUAGGACAUCACCCAGAUCCAUCACAUAAGGUUUUUGUUUUCUUCCUUCAAAACUAACUCCAGUUAGAUCACCAAUAGCACGACAGUGAGUCAAGCUGUGGUCUUCUGUACAGCAGAUUCUGUACACUUCUAGUCUGAUUGUAUCACUAUUAAAGAAAUUGUUUACAAAGAAAAAUAUUUUCCAUCUGAUUUUCAAUAUUUAGAGAUGACACCUGGUUACUCCAUCAUAGUGGUUCUCUCUCUCCUCCUGUACCAGCCCUGACUGAUGCUGCACUGGGCACCAACUAUAACUAUGCCCAUGUUCCCAUCUUGUUCCAACGUUUCUUUGGGACACAGCUUAGUGCUGACCUCCUAAAUAGUCAUGAUUCUUUAAACAAGACAUAUACACACAGGUGGCUUUAAAAAGCUACUACUCCUCUGAGCAAGGAAACCAACAAGACUCCUGGGUGUUUCAAGAGAAAUCUGUGUAUGGGUUUAAACCUAGCACAUGCUACAUAUUACUCAGGUGGGCAACACAGUUUCAAGUGUUACAGCAGCAGUGUAAUAGGAUUCUUGAAUAAGAAAUUAAAAGUAUCUUAUUGUGACAAAGCAGUAGUGUUUGUUAUUAACAAAGCAGCACUCAUUUUUAAGUGUGCAGUGUAGAGACAUGAAGCUCAGACUGCACAGAGUUGCUGUUGCCCUGUUAACUCAUAACUGCUGAGCCAUUACUUUCAGUCAUUUAUUUUUCAUAGUUUGUCAAUAGGGUUGUUUUAGAAAAGUAAAACAAAUUAACUUGCAUAAUGAUGCAUGUAUACUUCUUAAAUUUGUUAUUCUAUAGAAAAGAUAUGCAAUAGCAUAUAACUGUAAAUAACCAAAAUGAAAUAUCCAUUUGUUUGGAAAAAUUGAAAGCCAAUCAAGCAGAACACCAAAAUCAUUUACCACACAAAACUACAGCUUUACUCAGUCUUGUGCCUGUAACAGGACUUCAGCUAAAAUUUGAAGGGCCAAAUCUUUCAGUUUUUUCUCCUACACACUGACCUGCUCUCAUCAAAUAUAUAUAUACUGCCUUCUCAUGAGGAACUAUAUGCCACAGAGUGUCACCAGUUUCACAUCUGUUCUACAAAGACAUUCUAGAACGUCUGAGGUAAAAAAAACCCCUGAAAACAUCUGUACUCUUAAGAGAGAUGGAUCAGCCAAGCAAUAAACCAGUUAACGUCUACCAGCUUACCAAAAGGAAAACCACCCCAGCUCUCCAAAAAGCUUUUCCUGCCAAAGCUCUGCAGGGCCAACAGCCCAGGGAUCUGGGACCUGCUGCAGCAGGGAGAGCUGAGGACCAGUGCAGGGACUUGUAGCAAAGAAACACCCCCUGGACACCCUGAGCACAGCCACCGCUGGCCCACCUUCUACUCAUCCCAAACUAUCUCAGCAUCACAUCCAUGAUGGGCACACCUGGGACAGCAAGCAGGUGGUGAGGAUCCAUGGAGUAAUGACUGAGCAACUCUGGAGGACAGGCCACUGCCUGCCUGGGGGGGGAGGCAACCUCUCCUGCUCACAGAAGCGUGGAGGGAAGGUGUGACUCCUCACGAUACCUGAGGGCUGCCACCAGCAGCGUACGCUGCACUGCCCAGCCCUGUCUGUCCUGGGGAUCCACAGUAGCAGCACGGGGACAUGAAACAACUGAGCCUUUGCUUUGGACAAGUGUCCCUCUACAUGUCCCUGGUGUCAGCCAGAAGCUCCUGCCUCUGGCAGGCGCCUCCAGAGAGUCGUGGUGGUGUGACCUGGGAAGGUCUCCGGACAUUUUAUGCAUCAGUCAGAAACUGCUCCCAAAGAAGAAGACUUAUGGAGGAGUGAGGGAGGUGACAGGAGGUGAAGAGAUGUCCUCAGCUGCUGCCUUGAGGGCUCUCUGCCCUUCCCUCCCAGGAGCUGCCUUCUAUAGAAAGAUCCUUCUCUCCCAGACCAGCACCACUGUGACACAAAGGAUGAAGGGCACGUUCACAGCCACUGGGCUGCAGACACAGGGAUAAUUACAGAACCCCUUCAUCAAUUUACGGACUUGUACUUAGAAUUUCAAGUUUUCCUAAAUUUAGCAUGAUGGGCUGGAGUGUCCUUUUCUGCAAAGCACAUCAGAGCACCUUAGUUUUUACUGUUGCAGUUAUCUCCAAUGGUACUAGGAGGUACCAUUCCCCAUGGUACUUCCUAGCCAUAUUUAAUGUACAGCAAAGGAAGUUUGGGUUUUACCUUUUUUCCGUAUUACAUGGAAAUUUUAAAGACCACUGUGUAUUCUGCUUGCCAGAUCUUAGGAUCUUUGCUCUUUUAAGAGCAACCUCUGUCCUUGUUAAGAGUCAACACUGAAAACAAUACAGCUGUUGUUGGUGCCACUGCCCAGUGCUGCUGAGUAGAACAGUGAUAAGUGCUUCCAGCUGCAGAGCUGAACCUCCCAGGCCACAGGGUUUUAGUACUUUAACUGCUCUUCAAAACUGAGAGAGGCUCGCUGUUAAUACUGAUGAUGACAAACAGCUACCCCGUGUGAGGAAACGUGGCUCAUGCCUCUUCUUGACCUUCUACACCCACAGCCAGCCCCACACAACCCUCCCAGGCUCAAAGGUUUGCACCCCUGAGCAGUAACUCCGUGAUUCUGUCCUGGCACAGCAGGAGACACUGAAUGCUCAGAGCUCACCAGGAGGGCAUGAAAAAGACAACACCCAUGCCUGUACCCAGGUAUUCAAGGACGUUUAGAAGUUGCUGUGAAAGGCUGUGUGUGCAUUAACUAUGUUACGCUUGGCCUAGGCUUGAAAGAGGUAACAAGAGAGUCGAGUGCAAAGAGAGCUCGAUUUGUUUCUUACUUUCCCUGAUUACAGUUGCAGUAACGUAGUUACAUUUUCUUUCUGAAGACUUGAGCUGUAUUGAAAAAUAACUCUGGCCAUAUUUUAUGGCACUUUCUAUAAGGUACAAACCCCAUGUCUUAGCAUGACUCCAUUUAAUAUUUCUUCUCUUUGCUACAUGCUUUAUUAAAACAUCCAUCUGGGUAAGCCAUUUCUGUCUUCUGUCUUUUAAAGCUACUUUUAAAAUUCCAAAUGUAACAUAAGAUGUGCAGAAACUUUAUUCAGCUGACACCAGAAAAUGGCAGAACACGUUUUUCACCGCUUUCUGAUAUAUGCUUACUAUUCUAGAGGGUAAUAUUUUUUCCACUAGUUAGGAGGAUUUAGGAUGCUAUUAAAUUGUUUCCUAAUUUUUGCACACCUAAAGGUGUAACAAUAGCCAAAUAUUUCCUGUAAUUUAAAAUGUUUAUUAUUUAAAUACUUCUCUAGAAGAUGGAACAAAAUUGUAAUUAUCAGUAAUUUCAGCUAAACAUCAUGGAUCUCCUGUGUGAAGAAUGGAUGACAUAAAAAAAUCCACAGCUUCAAAUAGGAAAAAAUCUCAAAUUUGUAAACAGCUUCUAAGAACUACAGGUAAUGGUCUCUGUCUGUGUACUUAUAAAAGGCUUAAUGGUCUUCAUAUAUGACGACGGAAGCUACAUCUGUUCUCUGUCAAAAGGAGCCUCAAUGGACAUUUAGGCCCCAAAUUUCCUUGCCAGUAUGACCUGAUUCUUCCAACACAUGUGCUCAAGAUAUAGUGCAUUAUACCCAUAUGAAAAGGGAGUCAGAAAUCCUUCCCAAAAUUUACAUAUGGGGGUGUCCAAGGCCUUAUUUUAGAACUUAAAGUGACUGAAACUUUGAUUUACAAUUCAACUGGAUUAAUUUCAGGAGAAAGAGUUUUAGACUGGCUUCAAAGUGAAAAUGCAAAGAAAGUAUCUAAUUGCUUUCCUUUCUCAAAUUCUCUGUACUGCUAACUGGUGCAGAUUAGAUCAUGCAUGUUACAAACUGUUAAAAUUAUAAACUCACUUUCAGCAAAUGACUUUGCAAUGUAAUAAAUAAAGCUUUUAAUGCCACGAAUGAAAUUGUGCAACUUUUGAAUGUCAUAUGACAUUCAUCUAAACCUUUCCAUAAACUAUUUGUCAAAUUUGCUAUUGCUGUGAGCCUCCAGAAGUUUGUUCAGUCAGAGCUGAACUUCAUAAAUUAAACUACUGUGACAUCUUAUAUGGUCAUUGUUUAGUAUUAAAAGAAGUGAUUAUUAUACAGUCCUCAAUACGUAACAUUAAUUCCAAACCUUGUAUCUUUGCAUGUUUAUUGAAUUAAGAAAGCUUGUUCACAUGAACAGAUUUUGAAAGUCCCACUCAACAACAGUAACAGUCACCUGGACUGUGGAAAACCCCUAUCCUAUUAAUGAUUUCAUUUUUUAGUAUUUUUUCUUUUUAGAAAAAGAAAUGUGUGAUUGAAAUACUACACUGAUAAUGACACAACCAGUCAUUUACAAAUACUUCCUGAAACAAUCAGUCUGAUGGGCACAGGGGACUGCCGCAUGGAACACAUGACAGCAUUUAAAUGUGAUGUUGAUUGCACUGAAGUCCCAUUAAUGUCAGUCGUAGCUGACAGUACAAGCAGGCAACCCAAUUUGUACUCAGUGGUAGAAUUCCAACUGGUAUUUGAUCAGGCUCUGAGAAAACAGAGAUGAUUGAAUAAAUAUAAAUUUCCCAAUACAGUAAACUAGCUAAUUGAUGAUAUGGAAGUAUGUUUACCUCUUUUUAAACAAGUUAGCUAAUUUAAAAAAACAAACAAGUUUAAAUUAAUCUAGAAGUUCCUCUGACCUUGUGUAAGGCCUUUUCUUGCCAAACAGUUAGCAUCAGUGUAGAAACCCUCUUCAAUGGACAAAAAAAAUGGUGCUCUGCUGUUACCCCUUUUUCUUCAGCUCCACCUGACAGAGCUUUCUAGUGGUGCUGGUUUUUUACCUGAGAGUUGAUUAAACACUUACACUAUCAGUGGCAGAAAAUAAUAUUAUCAUAUUUAUUAAUUUUUAAAGUGCUCCAUUGUGAGCACUACAAGGAUCUGAAAUGGAACAGCUGUCACCUCUUCACGCACAUGGACCUGGGCUUCCAUAGAGCUCUUUAUACUGCUAAAUUAGAAAUGUCUCCUUUUAAUGAUGCACAAUGGAUAUAUAUCCUUGCCAAGUAAGAGAAGAUAAACUGUAGUAACUCAGAAAUGUAACUGAAAGCAGGGCCCUGUUUUAUUAUCAAGCACAACUUUCAUUACAGUUGGAAGGUCUUAAGCUUCAUUUGCACUAAAGUCAAUCGAAGUAGCUCCACUGAAAGUAAGUAAGUUGCAUUUGAUGUAAUUACAGGAUGGACUUGGAUUAGAACUUGCCCAUCUCCUGCAACUAAUGUACUUAGGGCUUAAACAUACAAUGAACUGUAUUAUUUAUAAUAUUUAAAUUGAUUUUGAAUAAGAGCCAGACAAAAGUGUAAUGGGAAUGGCAAGUGGAUGGAUUGCUUUUCACUUUUCCCUGUGGAUGAAACAGAAAAUAAACUGUUCAAAGAAGCUGGACUUUUUCACAGGGAAGGGAACACAAAGUGAACAAACACCGAAGAAAAACUAGAACAAUAUAUGUCUCUAGGAGUAGAAAACACUGCCCUUCCAGUGGCAUUCUCACCUCCAAAUAAAAAGGUGGCUGGAGCUAUCCAGAGUUAGAAGGAGGGAUCAGGUUCCUUCCUAGCCAAACUCAGAUAUCCUUUAUCUGUUUAGUGAGUUUGGACUACUGAGAACAUACUGCUUCACCUACAACAGCAGAUAUUCUGGGAAUUGCACAGUUUUACAAGUGCAAGUAACAAAAACAGAUUGCAAGAAAAAGUGUAAUAUGAAAGAAAAUGCAAAAAGCGGAAAAAAAUAAAGGAAGACAGUUGAACUUUUUUUCAAAGGUGAUCCAAUACUCAUUUUAGUCUGAGCAUCUUUACCAUUCCCUUUGAAAUCUGUGGGUUGGAAACCUCUGUCAGUCUGGAUCUCUGAGGUGCCUAGUGUUUUUCAAAUACUGCUUGACAAAUAAAUAAAUAAAUAAAUAUUCAGUCCCAAAUACAUA